ensembl:misc_RNA Rn7sk RNA, 7SK, nuclear
GGAUGUGAGGGCGAUCUGGCUGCGACAUCUGUCACCCCAUUGAUCGCCAGGGUUGAUUCGGCUGAUCUGGCUGGCUAGGCGGGUGUCCCCUUCCUCCCUCACCGCUCCAUGUGCGUCCCUCCCGAAGCUGCGCGCUCGGUCGAAGAGGACGACCUUCCCCGAAUAGAGGAGGACCGGUCUUCGGUCAAGGGUAUACGAGUAGCUGCGCUCCCCUGCUAGAACCUCCAAACAAGCUCUCAAGGUCCAUUGUAGGAGAACGUAGGGUAGUCAAGCUUCCAAGACUCCAGACACAUCCAAAUGAGGCGCUGCAUGUGGCAGUCUGCCUUUCUUU